CAAAGUUUUAAAACUUAUCAUGGUAUCACAUGCAAGAAAAAUGCAAUCUCUGACAAAUUAUGUCAAGGAAGGCAGGUACUGUUUCUAGUGAUCAAGAAAAUAAACUGAAGGCAGAACAAAGACUAGAAGCCAUAUUCUUUAACCUCUACUUCCUCUCUCGACUCAGCAGUUGCAGUGCAAUAAAUUAUUAUUGUAAAUGUUCUCCCCACACCUCUUUUGCUCCAAGAUAAAUAAUUUGAAUGACAACAAAUAUGGAGAAAGUAUUCAAAGAGAAUGGGGGCGAAAUUUAUUGCACAGAGGCCAAUGGAUAGCUGGAAAUGGUUCAGAACUAUAUAAGCCUGUUGCCACUAAAUUGGAGGUGGACAUUUGCCCACAAUAUCAAACCAUUUGUAUGGUGAUGCUUUAUGAAUACACCUACUUUGUUUUGGAAGUUACGUAUAAAUGUAUAUCUAGAUGUCUAUGUAUCUAUCUAUUAUCUAUUUUAAUAUAAAAUUUCUAACACUAACUCUUGAUUCUUCUAAAUCUAUUUAACUUUACUACCAAAAUUCAUAUUUUUAAUUUAUAGAUUCUUAAUAUUUUAAUUUGCAAUAAAGCAGAUAAAAGUAGCUGAACUUUUUCAAAAUAAUGUAUUCCUACUGCUGUCCUGAAACAUACAUUCCUGUUCAUCAUAGACAUUGUGUUAAACAUUGUCAACUUACAAGUGGAAAUAAACUUUUUGUUAUUUCUAAUUUCUAUUAUCUUGAAAUGUGUUAAUCACUUUAUUUUUGUAAGUGUAUAUCUCUAAGCUCCUAAAAACUUAGUGACAUACAAAUUUAUUAUAAUAUUUCCAACCUCAAAUAUUUUCUUUUAUGUCUAUAAAAUAAAUAUAUCCCUAGUUGACAG
rnacentral:lncRNA from 1 species